AAUGAACUUUCCCUAUUGUUAGUUUUACUAAACCCAUCCUUGUUCACAUUACAUAAAACAUAAUAGUAAUUAAAUUAACAUAAGUUUACCAUGUUAUUUCUACAAAAAUGUAAUACUGUAGGCUUUACUUAAUAAGGGUUUGACAGGCCAACUUAACAUUGUUGAGUAAAACGCAAAAACCUCUUAAGAUUGGAUAUUUGCUGAUACCGUCGCUGCCUACCUGGAGGCGGAGCAACGGAACAGUCAGAGAGAGGAACAUGUGAAGCACAUGAGGAGGAGAAGAUGGUGGCUUUGUCAGAUUGCUGCUGAAUUCAGUCGAAUCACUACUGUCCCACUAAUUCAAACAUUUUUCAAAACUGGAUGGUUACACCAGCAAGCUGGACAGCAUUUACCGUACAAAAGAAGAAAUUGCAAAACGAAAAAUUUGAAAACUCAUGGCUACCAUCGACAAGAAUGAUGCCAUCUCAACUUGGAGAGCUUGCAUUCUCAGAGCACUUUCUGUGUAUCUUAAUGAAGACUAUUAAAACCUCAUGAAGGAGUAUACAGUAAGUAUAGUUCUCAGUCAGUUAAUAUUUAAAAUGCCAUCACAUGAAUUCACAUAAUAUAGUCAAGGAAUAUCAAUACACAAAGUAUAUUUACCUUGGGGUUGUCAAAAGAACAGACUUCAGCACCAGUCUGCACUGAAAUAAAAGAUUGUUAUGAUGCUAGCAUUUUUCUGGGGAAAUCUUGAGCACAGUCGAGCAGAUUCUCAAGCAUAUUUGUCUAGGCAGAUUAAGGUGGCAAUUAUCAGUGUUGCCAAUCACAGUCACAUCUGUUGAGCACAAUAACACUGGCCAAUUGAAUUUCUUUGAAGGAAUGAUGAUUUCUGCACAUUUUUUAAAAUUCAGUACAGAAGCCUGUACUUUUGACCACCCUAACAAACACAGUAAAGUAGUUUUGUAAGUCACUGCAGGUGCGUGAUGUGAAAGAUUAAGGAAUGGACAGUUGAUACAAAAUUCUUUAAAUUUACAAUCUGUAUUUUUGAUGUAAUUAAACUGAACAGUGAUACUGUUUUUGUGUUUUGUAGGUGACAGACUUUGAGAGAGACAUGGCAAAUACUGUCAUUAAAAUCUACAUCGUUAAGCCUGAAGGUUUAGAAGUCUGUGACCCACCAUCAUUUGCUGGACUGAUUUUUGAGGGAGUAAAAGUGCUUCAGAACCUUGGCGAUGUCACCAAGGCUUGUUCUCUUUCUUUGAGAGUCAAAUACAGCGUGAAUCUCAGUUAUCCUUCAGACCUGAAAUACACUUUUGAGUUUUUCAGAAAGUGUUGCUGGGACUUGCACAUAAACUGUCACACAAAAUACAAGUUCUCAAAAACAAACUUGUUGGCUGAAUCAGUACAUCAUUCUGGACGAAUGAAAGAAAUAGAGGAAGAAGCUUUUUUGAGACACUUAAAUUGUUUCUAGUUUUAAAAUUAAGGGCCAAUUUUAAAGUUAUCUAUAACGAUGGCACCAAAGUUUUAAAUGGAGUUCUACAUCUUUAAAUGGUUAUAAUUGUUUGAUUAUUUACAAAGAUUCAGAUUUUCAGUUUUAUUCUUUUCUUUGCUUUUUUUAAAUUCUUAUGCUGCUUGUCUUAAACUUUCCUUUUCUUGUUCAAAGUAAAAUUUAUUACUUGCAGUUGCACAUAUUGAAAGAACAUUUUGGUCAAUAGUAAAACUUCUUUUAUAAUUUUUUUUAUGUUUAUUUUUUUUAAACAAGCUGUUGUUUUGUGGUGGUUUUCAUAAAUAAAGGUCAGUUGUAUACUUUAACAAUAUAUUAAACCUUUUGAAAUAUCAGCAAUUGAGCAUUGUAGCAUUUUGUGACACUGGAAAAAAAUGUCAAAUUACUUUUGUAAAUUUGCUCUUAUACAUUUUUCUUCCAAUAUUUGAAGUAGCACAUUGUAAGAAUGUUCACUAUUGACCAAAUGUUGCUUUUGCAUUUUUUUCUUUCUUUUUGUACUUUUAUUUGAACUGUUUGAGAAUGUUUACAAAAAUAGAGGCCAGUUUUAAUGUUACUCUCACUGUUGAUUGUAAAGAUCAGAAAUGAAUUUUAGCAGUAUUUUAACAUUCCAUGUACAAUAUUUUUCAAAGUAAGAUUAUUUCAGAUUCUUAAAGCCAGUUGCACUUUAAAAGACCCUGUAAAUGUUAACUGAAAGCAUCUGAUGUUUUAGUGUGUUUGUUUCAAAGGAAAUUGAAAUUGUUUUAUGGGUUUUUAGCAGUUGUAUGUUGCAAAACAUUGCAAAGAAAAUAAAUUCAUUUUGUUUCUAAAAA